rnacentral:rRNA from 1 species
UACGUAGGGGGCAAGCGUUGUCCGGAAUCAUUGGGCGUAAAGAGCGUGUAGGCGGUCCGGUCAGUCGGUUGUGAAAGUCAAGGGCUCAACCCUUGAAUGCCGGCCGAUACUGCCGGACUAGAGUCCGGAAGAGGUGAGUGGAAUUCCUGGUGUAGCGGUGAAAUGCGCAGAUAUCAGGAGGAACACCGAUGGCGAAGGCAGCUCACUGGGACGGUACUGACGCUGAGACGCGAAAGCGUGGGGAGCAAACAGG